rnacentral:lncRNA from 1 species
CCCUCGCCGAUGCUUCUCCAAGAUAACAAAAUUAAAACCCAAUUUGAAUUCUUUUGAUAGUCCUAAUACCAACAUAUUGUUUAUUUCUAAUCUUAUUGUAUUAAAAAAAUUUGGAGGCAAACAAAAAAAAAAAAAAGACUUCUUCCCUUUUGUUGCUUAUUGCAACCUUGCACUCCCCUCCACUCAUUAAGGAUGAUGAUAACAAUGGCAACAAACAAUAUUGUUUUAAGUGACCAAGGAAAAUAGUGGAAGAGAAGAGAGGUAAGAAGAAGGGGAGGGAUCAAGAGCAGC